UACAGAGGGUGCAAGCGUUAAUCGGAAUUACUGGGCGUAAAGCGUGCGCAGGCGGUUUUGUAAGUCUGACGUGAAAUCCCCGGGCUCAACCUGGGAAUUGCGUUGGAGACUGCAAGGCUGGAGUCUGGCAGAGGGGGGUAGAAUUCCACGUGUAGCAGUGAAAUGCGUAGAUAUGCGGAGGAACACCGGAUGGCGAAGGCGCAUCCCUGGACCAUCG
rnacentral:rRNA from 1 species